rnacentral:rRNA from 1 species
UACAGAGGUCUCAAGCGUUGUUCGGAUUCAUUGGGCGUAAAGGGUGCGUAGGCGGCGCGGUAAGUCGGGUGUGAAAUCCUCCCGCUCAACGGGAGAACGGCCUCGGAUACGGGCGGGCUGGAGGCGGGUAGGGGCGGGCGGAACUGUGGGUGGAGCGGUGAAAUGCGUUGAUAUCCACAGGAACUCCGGUGGCGAAGGCGGCCCGCUGGACCCGAUCUGACGCUGAGGCGCGAAAGCCAGGGGAGCGAACGGG